GACUAAGGGCCAGAAAAUACACAAAGGAAUAAAACACUGUGUUGACCUCAAAGAAUAAAUGAUCUAGGACAGAUUUUAAAAUGUAUACAACUUGCUGUAAUUUAACAAAAAAAAACCCUAUUUUUAAUGCUUUAAGGAAGGUACAGACACUGUUAGGGGAAUAAUAAUGCAGAAAUUAAUUCCCAGACAGGGAAGGAAUGGUAUUUGUGUUGGACAGAAACUGAGGAGGGGGAAUUUGGAGGGAAAAUAUCUGAGGUACAGAAAAAGUAAAUGGGCAAGCACAACAAGACUGGAGAAAGAAAAAAACCUUUCAAAAGGGUUAGAAGAUUUAGAAGGCUUCAUGGGAGGAAGAGGUGAGAUUAGACCUCAUUGUGGAAAGACUUAAAUGCUAACCUAAGGAAUGUGGACUUUAUUCUUAGGUAACAGAGAGCAAAAAAGAAAAAAGAAAAAAAAAAAAAAAAACCAAAACAACAACAACAAAGAAUGCAAAAGAAUGCUGAGAUCGGAGGAACAAUCUUUAGGAAGAUGAACUUACCGGCAAUGUGAGAAGAGAUAGCUAAUUCUGCUUACAUUACUGGAAAGGGAAUGUCCAGCACUAACAAGCAACAAAGGAUGAGACAAUGAAGGAACUUAAACACCUUGUGACAAAUACCUCUGGGAGCUGGCAUGUCUAGACUCUUGGAACCUAGUCUAUUUGACUGGCCUACAAAGUGCACCCUGUAUUUUUCAGAUUUCCAAAAACCAGGACAAGGAGAGAAGCAGCAAAGAGCCUUGGCUUGUGGCCUGACCAUAUCCUACGAUUAGCCUCUGUCCAGAAAGAAGUGCGAAAAAAACAAGGAAACAAACACUCUAGAAGAAGAAGAUACCUCCAGAUGACCCAGACUGAUCUUAUUUCAAGAUAAUUUCCUUUAAAGAGAAACCAGGAAGGAAUUGGAUAUACAGAAUUUAGGAUUUGGCCAGAAGAUCUGGAAGAAUCCAAAGCCUGCUGCCGAAUGACAGUUUCCAAAACCCAGUAUAGAAAGUAACUUUAACAUUUUCUGUUAGUUUGUGCAUUCUGGAGGAAGAGUUCCUUUUGGAUUGCCCUUUGAGUCUUCAUGACCUGUGUCCUGUUUCCAACCCAGGACCAGCUCUCAUCUGAGGGUGGAAAGAUGUUGGAACACCUUUCCAAUACUCUUUCCUACUUCUACAACCCACCCCUUCUGUGAGGCACGUCUACAAAACACACAGUAUAAUCCUGUUUCCAUUGUAAAAUUGUAACACUGAACAUUUCUUUAUUCACGGAAUGAAAAGACAAGUCAGAAUUUUUCUUUGUUUUCCUUUCCCCAUUGUAUUUAUGAAUGACAUGGAACCUACCAGCAUAUUGUUGGUGAGCCCUCGACUACUUCCCUAUCCCUGAAGUUAUAUUGAAACAGAACAGAUGGAAGCACAGUGGGAUCUGUCACAUAUGCUACACAGAGAAGAGUCAAAAGGCUAUCAGUGCUUUCCAAAACAAGCAAGAGAAUGAAAGAAAGGGGGCGGGGUGUGCAGAGAACAGUGGCUAUUCUUGAUGUAUGCUAACUGGUACUCUGUGCCCCACUAAACCGUUUUGAGAAGGAAGUUAAGCUCUGGAAAAGCCCCCCUCUCCUUAAAUGCUACCUUUUUUAUUUUUUGUUUUUUGUUUUUUUUAGAUAGGUUGCACAUCGAACAUGGAGCCCAGUCCAGAGCUUGAACUCAAGACCCUGAAUUCAAAAUCUGAGCUGAGAUCCAGAGUUCGAUGCUUAGCCGACUGAGCCACUCAGGUGACCCAAGUGCUAAGUUUUCUAAGGACUAUUUUAGCUGUA